AGCAUGUGGUUUAAUUCGAUACGGCGCGAGAAACCUUACCAAUUUUUGCAUAUAAAAUAUAAAACUUGUGUUACGCGAGUUGUCAUUUAAAAAAAUGAAAAUUUUAUACAGGUGCUGCAUGGCUGUCGUCAGCUCGUGUUGUGAGAUGUUUGAUUAAGUUCUUGAAACGAGCGCAACCCUCGAUAAUUUGCUUAUAAAAGUAAUAUGAACUGCCAAUGAUAAGUUGGAGGAAGGAGAGGAUGACGUCAAGUCCGCAUGGCCCUUAUAAAUUGGGCUACACACGUGCUACAAUGGAUACUACAAAAGGUAGCAAUUAUGUUAAGUAGGAGCGAGUCCUAAAAAGUAUCCUUAGUUCGGAUUGUUCUUUGAAACUCAAGAACAUGAAGUUGGAAUCGCUAGUAAUCGUGAAUUAGCAUGUCACGGUGAAAUGUUUUCCGGAUCUUGUACACACCGCCCGUCACGCGCUGGAAAUU
rnacentral:rRNA from 14 species